GGUUAAAAAGCUCGUAGUUGGAUUUCUGUCGAGGGUGGUCGGUCCGCACUAUGUGCGUGUAUCUGAUUCGGCCUUGGCAUCCUCUUGGGGAACGUGUCUGUGCUUGAUUGCAUGGUGCGGUAUUCAAGACUUUUACUUUGAGGAAAUUGGAGUGUUUACGGCAAGCAUACGCUUUGAACACAUUAGCAUGGAAUAAUAAUAUAGGGCCUGGGUUCUAUUUUGUUGGUUUCUAGAGCUUGGGCAAUGAUUAAUAGGGAUAAUUGGGGGCAUUCGUAUUAACGCGUCAGAGGUGGAAUUCUUGGAUUGCGUUACGACGAACUACUGCGAAAGCAUUUGCCAAGGAUGUUUUCAUUGAUCAAGAACGAAAGUAUGGGGAUCGAAGACGAUUAGAUACCGUCCUAGUCUUAACCAUAAACUAUGCCGACUCGGGAUCGGGGGCACGCACAUAUCGGCCUUCGGCACCGUAUGAGAAAUCAAAGUCUUUGGGUUCUGGGGGGAAUAUGGUCGCAAGGCUGAAACUUAAAGGAAUUGACGGAAGGGCACCACC
rnacentral:rRNA from 1 species